rnacentral:rRNA from 1 species
AGAGUUUGAUCCUGGCUCAGAUUGAACGCUGGCGGUAUGCUUAACACAUGCAAGUCGAACGGAAACGAUACUAGCUUGCUAGUAGGCGUCGAGUGGCGGACGGGUGAGUAACGCGUAGGAAUCUGCCUGAUAGUGGGGGAUAGCCCGGAGAAAUUCGGAUUAAUACCGCAUAAUCUACACGUAGUAAAGGAGGCCUCUAUUAUUAAGCUUUCGCUAUCAGAUGAGCCUGCGUAAGAUUAGCUUGUUGGUGAGGUAAAAGCUCACCAAGGCGACGAUCUUUAGCUGGUCUGAGAGGAUGAUCAGCCACACUGGGACUGAGACACGGCCCAGACUCCUACGGGAGGCAGCAGUGGGGAAUAUUGGACAAUGGGGGCAACCCUGAUCCAGCAAUACCGCGUGUGUGAAGAAGGCCUGAGGGUUGUAAAGCACUUUCAAUUGUGAAGAAAAGCUAAAGGUUAAUAACCUUUAGCCUUGACGUUAACUUUAGAAGAAGCACCGGCUAACUCCGUGCCAGCAGCCGCGGUAAUACGGAGGGUGCAAAGCGUUAAUCGGAAUUACUGGGCGUAAAGCGUGCGUAGGUGGUUUGUUAAGUCAGAUGUGAAAGCCCCCGGGCUCAACCUGGGAACUGCAUUUGAAACUGGCUAACUACA